GAAAGGGUAAAUAAGCAGCAGCGUGCGUGACCAAGGCGCGCACCAAGUUAGAAACUGACGUUUGUUAAUCUCACUGUCCACAGGGAAGCAGAAGGCCACAGAAGUGACAACGAGAGAACAGAGACCAAGUGUCACCUCGCGCCUUAAGCUGAACCAGAAAGCAAGAUCUGUAGUACAUGAGGAGGAGGAUGAAUAAAGGAACCUGUGCUCAAUGCUGCCUUCAUGAUGGCAGUGAUCUGAUUAAGGAGGGGAAGUGCCUGGCGCCGCCAAAUGCUUCGAAAGGAGACCCAGCCAGAGUUCCACGGUCCAGGGGAGCCCCAGCAAGACCCAGAGGAUGAGGAGGUGAGACCCAUCCCACGGAGGAGACUCUCACGAACACGGGUCUACCAAAAAUGACUUUCCUAUCUGCACAUGAGUGAAAGACAAUGCCUCUCACCUUUGUGCUUGUCAAGAGAUUUGGUAAAUCAUAUCUGCCAGGUUAUGUGGGAGGAUUUUAUGUCCCUGGACUGGGAGGACAUCCCCAGCCAGUGCCCCUGAAGGUCACCUCUGUGCUCAAUUUUUUUGCCUGUGGAUUGUUCCAGGGAUCCCCAGGGGGGCCUAUGUGGCAUCUCCCAGUCCUCAGCACAUUAUUGUACCAAGGAGGUGACAGAUGCCCUCAGUAAGGGCCAUCGUUAUGUGAAGUUCACACUCGAAGCUAGCCAGGCUGCUAGAGUUCUGGGGUUUGCAGCUGCAUCAUGCUUCCCUAGAGUACAGGGUGCAAUCGAUUGCACGUGUGGCAUUGAGAGCUCUGGCAGCAGCUCCUGAUGUUCAUUAACAGGAAAAGGUUCCACUCCUUGAACAUUCAACGGGUGUGCGAACAUCAGAGGCACAUCCAUGCUCCCAGAUAUCCUGGGAGUUCCCAUGACUCUCACAUCCUGAGUCACUCGCGGGUGCCUCACAUUCAAAGGGCCUCAGCAAUUGCAGGGCUGGCUGCUUGAGGAUAAGGGGUACCGGCUGAAACAAUGGCUCAUGACACCUCUACGUUGCCCUCAGAGUGCCUCAAAGAGAGAGAUACAAUGCGGCACCUAGCUCCACACGAUCCAUCAUCAGGGAGACCAUUGGCAUCCUGAAGAUGUGCUUCUGAUGUCUGGACCACGCAUUUGGAGCUCUGGAGUGGUCUCCAGAGAGUGUCGCCCAUAAUCAUGGUCUUCUACGCCCUUCACAACCUGGCACAUCAAAGGGGGGGACCCCCUGUCAGAGAGAGAUAUGGAGGAGGCUGGGAGCACCUCAGACAAUGAAGACCAGGAACCUGAAGAGGGAGAUGAGGGUCAGCUUCCACGUGAUGAUGUCAUCGAUGAAGCACAAUGUGGAAUAUGUGCCCGUCUCACACUGAUAGGCACAAGAUUCUAGGAGGAGUAAGGUGCUGGCAACAGGACACGGCCACAAUCCUCCUGUCCCUUUGUGCCAGGCCACUGGAAUGAAAUGCUUUUACAAUCAGUAACAUCCAGAGCAAGUUCAGCAUUCAGACUUGUACCUUCAAUCUCAUGAUUCACUAGGCCCUAAUCUUUGGAAUGGUCAGUGACAAACCUUGUAUCUGUGCGCUCUGGGAAGUGAAAGUUGUCACAUCAACACAAACAUUGCACCAAAAGACUUGAUGCACUCGUUGCCACCUUGAUGAGAAACUUUUAGCCAACACUAAAAAUGGUUGAAGAGAUGAUCAUGGCUGCAGGCCUUGUGCUUUGGCAUUAUCAAUGAAGACAGUCUUCUCAUUUUGAGGAACAAUUACAGUUAACCCUCCAAGGCUGGUGAGCACGCCUAACUCCAUGUUGUAAUGAGUAAAGGUUACUAAAACAUUC